GACGAACGCUGGCGGCGUGCCUAAUACAUGCAAGUAGAACGCUGAAGGAGGAGCUUGCUUCUCCGGAUGAGUUGCGAACGGGUGAGUAACGCGUAGGUAACCUGCCUGGUAGCGGGGGAUAACUAUUGGAAACGAUAGCUAAUACCGCAUAACAGUAGAUGUUGCAUGACAUUUGCUUAAAAGGUGCAAUUGCAUCACUACCAGAUGGACCUGCGUUGUAUUAGCUAGUUGGUGAGGUAACGGCUCACCAAGGCGACGAUACAUAGCCGACCUGAGAGGGUGAUCGGCCACACUGGGACUGAGACACGGCCCAGACUCCUACGGGAGGCAGCAGUAGGGAAUCUUCGGCAAUAGGCGGAAGUCUGACCGAGCAACGCCGCGUGAGUGAAGAAGGUUUUCGGAUCGUAAAGCUCUGUUGUAAGAGAAGAACGAGUGUGAGAGUGGAAAGUUCACACUGUGACGGUAUCUUACCAGAAAGGGACGGCUAACUACGUG
rnacentral:rRNA from 1 species